ACUUGGCCCUUGAAAGUCUUUGCUCCGGUUAGCUAAAAGGAAACCACAGAUGACAUCAGCUAGCUAUCAGCAGACUUAACCUUAAUUAAGUAUAUAUAUUUACAUAUGCCACCCACCCUAAGAGGCUGGGAAUUACAAUGACAUAAAGGUUUAGUUGGAUAGAGGGAUUUGUUGGUUUAGUUCAUAUCAUCUUUUCCUGUUUUCAAUGUGUUGGUGCAGACUUGCUUUCUUUUUAUCCUCAUUAACCUCUUUCUUCUGUGGCGAGUAGUAUGCCAAUGAUUUGCUUCUCUGCAAGCUGCUUUUGUUGCAAGGGUGGUGUACUGAAUCCAAUUGUUUUAGCGGGCAAGCAAAUGUGCUUGUUUGAAAUAUCAAUCCCGAGUAUUAUACUCUUUAAUUCUUGGUCUGAUUGGUUAAAAUGCAAAGCAUGUUCCUUUGGUAUCUCAAUUCCAGUACUUUACUGAUCGGUAACGUUUUAUAUUUUCAUUUUUUUUGAAGAAUGACGUAAAGCUUUUAUAUUGAUCAAGAAGUAGGUAACAACAUGAAUACAAUUCAUCCUCACAGUCUAAGUAUAAAUUGAACACAAGUUAAAACAACCUAAGUUGUUUUUAUGUUGCAAAACGCAAUACCAUUACAAUAUUGAAUUUAGUUUUUCUGUUUGGAUUUGCUUGGAGUCUUUAUAACUAUUGUAUUGAGUACAAUCCUUGCCAUGAUUGGUUUCGCACCCAAGUUUUUUCGUAUGUAAUAUAUAUCUCUGGUUAGCUUUCGAGUUUGUGUUCUGUGUAGAUUAUGCGAAAUUGAUUUGAAUGAUAGUAGUUGUAUAAUAGAAAAGCUUGUUAUGGAUGACAAUAGUCUGCUUGUAAAUCGCUAGAGUCGAUCGUCCGAUUACAGCCAUCAUUUGUUAUGGUCUGAACUAAUUAAACCGUGAGACUCAUUCUAUUCUGAAAGUACAGAAUAAUUUUUUCUAUUUUGAGGGGAAGGAGUCAAGCUUUCAUUCAUUAUACGAUGUCACUCCGUCAAGCUAGAGAAUGAAUACUCCGUAAUUCACAAUGCGAGACUCAAAAAGCUGCGAGACUUGAAAUAGCAAAUACUUAGAACACUGAAAAUGGACAUACUGAUUGUGAAGAAACUUCUCAUUAUUAAAUGUGACAGGGGAGAGAAUUCCCCGAUACGUAUCUGCCUACACAGGAAAUCCUACAUCGAUCGAAUCAGCAGAGUAAUCGAACUGAAACACAUUGCCUACCCAGAAAAACCUGCAGAGAACUAGCAGAGUACGUAAUUAAGCCAACUGAAACAUAUUUUGAAGAAGGAAACAAUUCAAUAACAAUGGUAAACAGCAACUCUCCUUUGAGGAGGAGGCUGACAUAUAACAAAGAAAGCCAUUGCCAACACUAUAGCCAGCACCAGCCCCAGCAACAAUGUAUCAUCCUGAUCCACGCAGCAAGAGAACCUUCCCAUUCUUCAAAGCCAAACUCUGAACUUCUUUCCAAGCUAGGAAGAUCUCAACAAGAAGAAAAGAAGCGUUUCAACGACUUGAGAGUGAGCUUAAGCAAAUACCAUGAGGAUCUAAAGGGAGAAAGUACGGGCUUUCUAUCCAUGGAAUGCUUAUGCAGCCUGUGAGAAGUCGACACGUUUGAUUAACAAUGUGGUGCCCAAACUUCGAGUGGUUUUGGUUAUCUUUGCUUCUUUGUGGCUACCACUCAACCUGAGGUUUCUGAUUGUACUUGAUUCUUCUCUGCCUUUCUACUUCUAUGUAUACCAUAAUUUUUUAUAUGAAAAUGAGUUUCCUAUAAGAGAUCUCUUCCUAUAAACCCCAUCCAAAUAAAGACCAGAACCUCAAUAUUUAGGUAAGCUAGGAACCAAUAAACUGGUUGUUGUGCAUUAGUGAAUAGGUUAAGAGAGGGAAAAUGAGGAUGAAAAAUGAUGGUUGUAUAAGAUGCCUAGUUGUAUUAUAAUGAAGCAUGGAAAAUGAUAUAUAUGAAAAUGAAAGCUUGAGAAACUAAUAAUUCGAUGAACUAAAUGUCGUGAAGGUAUAAUUAUAGUAGUUUGAAUUGUGCUGAUUGUCUAAUAUAUAUACCUCACUUUCAAAUACAUUUACUUAUGCGUCUUUGUCUUCAAGAUGUUUGUAUGUGAACGAUUAUUUCUUCAAACGUCGUUGUUUUGACAACUUCAGUACAAGAGAUUAUAAAACUUGAAUUUUUUUUGUCUUCUUGGUUAAUCGAUCAGAGUGAAGCUUAAACUAGUAUCUGAAUGUAAAAAAGAGACUACUAAACAACUUUGUAUACUCAUUCCUAAAAGUCGAAGAGAGGAUGUUCUGGUGAA
rnacentral:lncRNA from 1 species